CGGCAGUGGCUUGUGGAAGCGCUGUCGCUCAACGGAUAAAAGGUACCCCGGGGAUAACAGGCUGAUCUUCCCCAAGAGUCCAUAUCGACGGGAUGGUUUGGCACCUCGAUGUCGGCUCGUCGCAUCCUGGGGCUGGAGUCGGUCCCAAGGGUUGGGCUGUUCGCCCAUUAAAGCGGUACGCGAGCUGGGUUUAGAACGUCGUGAGACAGUUCGGUCCCUAUCCGCUGUGCGCGUAGGAAUAUUGAGAAGGGCUGUCCCUAGUACGAGAGGACCGGGACGGACGAACCUCUGGUGUGCCAGUUGUUCUGCCAAGGGCAUGGCUGGUUGGCUACGUUCGGAAAGGAUAACCGCUGAAAGCAUCUAAGCGGGAAGCCUGCUUCGAGAUGAGUAUUCCCACCAACUUGAUUGGUUAAGGCUCCCAGUAGACGACUGGGUUGAUAGGCCAGAUGUGGAAGCCCGGUAACGGGUGGAGCUGACUGGUACUAAUAGGCCGAGGGCUUGUCCUCAGUUG
rnacentral:rRNA from 1 species